rnacentral:rRNA from 1 species
AACGAACGCUGGCGGCAUGCCUAACACAUGCAAGUCGAACGAGACCUUCGGGUCUAGUGGCGCACGGGUGCGUAACGCGUGGGAACCUGCCCUUAGGUUCGGAAUAACUCCCCGAAGGGGGUGCUAAUACCGGAUAAUGUCUUAGGACCAAAGAUUUAUCGCCUUUGGAUGGGCCCGCGUUGGAUUAGCGAGUUAGUAGGGUAAAAGCCUACCAAGGCGACGAUCCAUAGCUGGUCUGAGAGGAUGAUCAGCCACACUGGGACUGAGACACGGCCCAGACUCCUACGGGAGGCAGCAGUGGGGAAUAUUGGACAAUGGGCGAAAGCCUGAUCCAGCAAUGCCGCGUGAGUGAUGAAGGCCUUAGGGUUGUAAAGCUCUUUUACCCGGGAUGAUAAUGACAGUACCGGUAGAAUAAGCUCCGGCUAACUCCGU